rnacentral:rRNA from 1 species
UGGGGAAUAUUGGACAAUGGGCGAAAGCCUGAUCCAGCCAUGCCGCGUGUGUGAAGAAGGCCUUUUGGUUGUAAAGCACUUUAAGUGGGGAGGAAAAGCUUAUGGUUAAUACCCAUAAGCCCUGACGUUACCCACAGAAUAAGCACCGGCUAACUCUGUGCCAGCAGCCGCGGUAAUACAGAGGGUGCAAGCGUUAAUCGGAAUUACUGGGCGUAAAGCGCGCGUAGGUGGUUAUUUAAGUCAGAUGUGAAAGCCCCGGGCUUAACCUGGGAACUGCAUCUGAUACUGGAUAACUAGAGUAGGUGAGAGGGGAGUAGAAUUCCAGGUGUAGCGGUGAAAUGCGUAGAGAUCUGGAGGAAUAGCGAUGGCGAAGGCAGCUCCCUGGCAUCAUACUGACACUGAGGUGCGAAAGCGUGGGUAGCAAACAGGAUUAGAUACCCUGGUAGCCCACGCCGUAAACGAUGUCUACCAGUCGUUGGGUCUUUUAAAGACUUAGUGACGCAGUUAACGCAAUAAGUAGACCGCCUGGGGAGUACGGCCGCAAGGUUA